rnacentral:rRNA from 1 species
UACAGAGGUGGCAAGCGUUGUUCGGAAUUACUGGGCGUAAAGGGCGCGUAGGCGGCCUUCUAAGUCAGACGUGAAAUCCCCCGGCUUAACCUGGGAACUGCGUCUGAUACUGGGAGGCUUGAGUAUGGGAGAGGGAUGUAGAAUUCCAGGUGUAGCGGUGAAAUGCGUAGAUAUCUGGAGGAACACCGGUGGCGAAGGCGGCAUCCUGGACCAUUACUGACGCUGAGGAGCGAAAGCCAGGGGAGCAAACGGG